UUUCUAGUGGUAUAGUGGGUAACACAUCUGCUUGGUAAGCUGAAGGUUGCUAGUUUGAUUCCAGCUAGAGAC
rnacentral:tRNA from 1 species